rnacentral:rRNA from 1 species
GAUGAACGCUGGCGGCGUGCCUAAUACAUGCAAGUCGAGCGAACAGACGAGGAGCUUGCUCCUCUGACGUUAGCGGCGGACGGGUGAGUAACACGUGGAUAACCUACCUAUAAGACUGGGAUAACUUCGGGAAACCGGAGCUAAUACCGGAUAAUAUAUUGAACCGCAUGGUUCAAUAGUGAAAGACGGUUUUGCUGUCACUUAUAGAUGGAUCCGCGCCGCAUUAGCUAGUUGGUAAGGUAACGGCUUACCAAGGCAACGAUGCGUAGCCGACCUGAGAGGGUGAUAGGCCACACUGGAACUGAGACACGGUCCAGACUCCUACGGGAGGCAGCAGUAGGGAAUCUUCCGCAAUGGGCGAAAGCCUGACGGAGCAACGCCGCGUGAGUGAUGAAGGUCUUCGGAUCGUAAAACUCUGUUAUUAGGGAAGAACAAAUGUGUAAGUAACUAUGCACGUCUUGACGGUACCUAAUCAGAAAGCCACGGCUUACUACGUG